CUAUCUGCCUUCUUAUAUAUUGUUUAGUGUUUACUUCUCCUCAAUGUUCCCCUUUUUAAGUUAUGCUCUUUUUCCUUUACGAGAAGAAACCCAGUGAUGCUUGAAGAGAAAGAACAGAGUCCUACCUUAUAACUAUUACUGAGAGCAUCAACAAUGGACAGACAAAGUCAAAGAGGAAGAGAAGAAUUUGAGAGACUUUGCCACUGCCAGACGAGUCUUUCACUGAAAACAUUACCAACACCGUAAGGGCGUGGAGAGGGAGUUUAGAAGGCUGUCAUCACCGGUCUACCGCCACCAUCAGAUGGCUGGAACUGCAGCGGGUAAAGAUAAAUUCUGAUGAUGGGUUUCGUUGGUGAUAGAAAGAUAUAUUUGGAUGACCAGUUUGAAGUUUGAAGAUUUCAGGAAUUGCAAGAUGACAGCGUGUACAUUUUGUGGGCAAAGGUUGUUGGCCAAAUCUGGUGUGGCAUUGGGUUACAUUCAUGGGGUAUCAUGGUGACAUUCCAUCUUUGUUUGUAUGAUCAUCUCUAAUAAGCUUGGCUAUAUACCAUUGUAACUAGUCAUGUUGUAGAACUUUUAGAGGUCAACAUGAAUGAUUACCGUUAGGUUCUGAAUCUGUUGAUGAAAGUUUUAUUUGAGUGCUUUCAGUUUGUCAAUAGAAUGUUUAGAUUUCUAACCAAAGGUAGGUAAAAGUUCCAAAGAAAUGAAAAGGAUAUAGUUUACUGCUUAUGCAGUCUUAUGUUGUAAAAUCACCAUAACCAUGAAUCACUCGGAAGUUUAGACGAAUUUUCUGGUGGGAUCUUU